UUAGGGAUUAUGACCAAAAUCCUCAGGCUUAUAACCUCAAGGUCGCAGGUUCAAAUCCUGUCCCCGCAACCA
rnacentral:tRNA from 1 species